rnacentral:rRNA from 1 species
AACGUAGGAGACAAACGUUAUCCGGAGUUACUGGGCGUAAAGGGCGUGUAGGCGGUCUGUUAAGUCUGGCGUGAAAGCUCUCGGCUAAACCGGGAGAGGUCGUUGGAUACUGGCAGACUAGAGGACGGUAGAGGCGUGUGGAAUUCCGGGUGUAGUGGUGAAAUGCGUAGAGAUCCGGAGGAACACCAGUGGCGAAGGCGACACGCUGGGCCGUACCUGACGCUAAAGCGCGACAGCAUGGGGAGCAAACAGG